GGAGAAGGAGCGCGGGGAGGACGUACCUUGUGAGAUGCGAGCCGGCCAACAGCUUGCAAGCAUGCUCCGCUGGACCCGAGCCUGGAGGCUCCCGCGUGAGGGACUCGGCCCCCACGGCCCUAGCUUCGCGAGGGUGCCUGUCGCACCCAGCAGCAGCAGCGGCGGCCGAGGGGGCGCCGAGCCGAGGCCGCUUCCGCUUUCCUACAGGCUUCUGGACGGGGAGGCAGCCCUCCCGGCCGUCGUCUUUUUGCACGGGCUCUUCGGCAGCAAAACUAACUUCAACUCCAUCGCCAAGAUCUUGGCCCAGCAGACAGGCCGUAGGAUCUCCAUCGGGGCUGGCCCAUGCCUAGGCGCCUGCACCCUUUCCAUGAAGGGGCCUGCUUGUUCACUAGGGAUGACCGGGAGCUCACCACCUCUUAUGGCAGCCCAUUCUUCUGUGCUCCUACUGUUGGAAAUUCCUGGAGUCUCCUUCCUGGCAUUCUCCGAGAUUGCCACCCAGCCAGGCCAGCCCUUCAGAGACGUGGUCACAACCCUGGGGCCUGCUCUUCUCUGGCAGAGUGGCCCCAGGUUCUUCAUCUGGGCCUCCUAGGUCUGGAAACUGGGCCCUUCCCCUCCACAGGGUGUAUCCCCAGGCUCUCCACACCUUUGACCUGCUGUCCCUACAAGCCUUUGGCUGUCUACCCCCAGAAUGGGGAUAUCAACGCAGCCCCGUCUCACCCCACUCCCCAGGUGCUGACGGUGGAUGCUCGUA
rnacentral:lncRNA from 1 species